rnacentral:rRNA from 1 species
CAGCAGCCACGGGAAUACGUAGGGUGCAAGCGUUAAUCGGAAUUACUGGGCGUAAAGCGUGCGCAGGCGGUUAUAUAAGACAGAUGUGAAAUCCCCGGGCUCAACCUGGGAACUGCAUUUGUGACUGUAUAGCUAGAGUACGGCAGAGGGGGAUGGAAUUCCGCGUGUAGCAGUGAAAUGCGUAGAUAUGCGGAGGAACACCGAUGGCGAAGGCAAUCCCCUGGGCCUGUACUGACGCUCAUGCACGAAAGCGUGGGGAGCAAACAGGAUUAGAUACCCCAGUAGUCCCUGUCUCUUAUAC